rnacentral:sRNA from 1 species
UUUUCGCCUGUAGUUUAUAGGAUGAGAACCUCCGAAGGAGGUUUGAGCCGAGCGCAGCGAGACAACGUUGCGUUAGCAACGGCCCGCAGGGCGGCAUCGUAGAUGCAGUAAUCCUCUCUCGCCGACCA